GACGAACGCUGGCGGCGUGCUUAACACAUGCAAGUCGAACGGAAAGGCCCUGCUUUUGUGGGGUGCUCGAGUGGCGAACGGGUGAGUAACACGUGAGUAACCUGCCCUUGACUGUGGGAUAACUUCAGGAAACUGGGGCUAAUACCGGAUAGGAGCUCCUGCUGCAUGGUGGGGGUUGGAAAGUUUCGGCGGUUGGGGAUGGACUCGCGGCUUAUCAGCUUGUUGGUGGGGUAGUGGCUUACCAAGGCUUUGACGCGUAGCCGGCCUGAGAGGGUGACCGGCCCCAUUGGGCCUGAGCUACGGCCCGGACUCCUCCGCGACGCAGCAGUGCGGAAUGUUGCACGAUGGGCGGAAGCCUGAUGCAGCACCGCCGCGUGCCGGAUGACGGCCUUCCGGUUGUAUUCCGCUUUCGCCUGUGCCGAAGCGUGAGUGACGGUAAUGGGUAAAGAAGCCCCGGCUAACUACGUG
rnacentral:rRNA from 1 species